UGCUCUUUAUUUCUCUCGGCUCCUUCAUGUAUUUAGCUUUUGGUUCACAGGACUGCAAGGGUACACAAAUAAUUCCUUAUUUCUGCUGAAGGGAAAUGAUUUAUUAUUGGAAAUUGAAACACUGAAACCCAAAAUUGAAGUCUUACAAUGGAAAAGCAAAAUUAGAUCAAAAGAAUUUGCCAUAAUAACAUAUUUUCCCGAUUCUAAAUAUCUAAACAAUCACUUUGGUGAAAGGGCAGAGUUUUCAACAGAAAAAUACUCAUUGCAAAUAAAAAACCUAGGAUUGAAUGAAAGUAGACUUUACCAAGCAGUGGAUGCUUCUAACGACGUAGUAAUUAUCGCCGAUUACCACGUCACAGUUCAAGAGCGGGUAUCACCAGUGGUCCUGAAUGUGUCGUCUGUGUCUCCCAGUCCUGAAUCCUGUAAAGUGACCGUGACCUGUAGCACUCAGAGCUCCUCCUUAAACUCCACCUUCACGUGCACCCCUCGGACCUGCUCUGAGGAUGGAGGAGACCCAGCAGAGGUCGUGACCUCUGAUGCCCCGCUCAACCUCUACCUGUCAAAUGGUUUGAUCGCCAUCUGUAACCAUAGCAACAAAGG
ensembl:lncRNA